AGCGAACGCUGGCGGCAGGCUUAACACAUGCAAGUCGAGCGGGCACUUCGGUGUCAGCGGCAGACGGGUGAGUAACACGUGGGAACGUACCCUUCGGUUCGGAAUAACGCUGGGAAACUAGCGCUAAUACCGGAUACGCCCUUUUGGGGAAAGGUUUACUGCCGAAGGAUCGGCCCGCGUCUGAUUAGCUAGUUGGUGGGGUAAUGGCCUACCAAGGCGACGAUCAGUAGCUGGUCUGAGAGGAUGAUCAGCCACACUGGGACUGAGACACGGCCCAGACUCCUACGGGAGGCAGCAGUGGGGAAUAUUGGACAAUGGGCGCAAGCCUGAUCCAGCCAUGCCGCGUGAGUGAUGAAGGCCUUAGGGUUGUAAAGCUCUUUUGUCCGGGACGAUAAUGACGGUACCGGAAGAAUAAGCCCCGGCUAACUGCGU
rnacentral:rRNA from 1 species